rnacentral:rRNA from 1 species
CCUACGGGUGGCAGCAGUGGGGAAUAUUGCACAAUGGGCGCAAGCCUGAUGCAGCCAUGCCGCGUGUGUGAAGAAGGCCUUCGGGUUGUAAAGCACUUUCAGCGGGGAGGAAGGCGGUGAGGUUAAUAACCUCAUCGAUUGACGUUACCCGCAGAAGAAGCACCGGCUAACUCCGUGCCAGCAGCCGCGGUAAUACGGAGGGUGCAAGCGUUAAUCGGAAUUACUGGGCGUAAAGCGCACGCAGGCGGUCUGUCAAGUCGGAUGUGAAAUCCCCGGGCUCAACCUGGGAACUGCAUUCGAAACUGGCAGGCUAGAGUCUUGUAGGGGGGGGUAGAAUUCCAGGUGUAGCGGUGAAAUGCGUAGAGAUCUGGAGGAAUACCGGUGGCGAAGGCGGCCCCCUGGACAAAGACUGACGCUCAGGUGCGAAAGCGUGGGGAGCAAACAGGAUUAGAUACCCUUGUAGUC